AAGAAUUUCCAACACGCACUUUCAAAAGAACGAAUUUCAACUAAAUCCACUACUCGUUCAGAAAAAAAAGAACGUUCCAUCACUCUGAAAUCCCAAAAUUAUUCAUCGCCAACCAUUUCAAAGCCAAGGGAUCCAACACAUAAAACACCCAUCCACCCACGCGAUGCAACGCUAAAACCUUCUGAAAACUGAUCAAACAGUAUUAUAACAAAUUCGAACAGUAACGCGUACUACCCUGACGGCCUCGUGUGGGCAGUAGAGAGGAACACGAGCGUGUCUGGCUAAAGUUAGCUUGUCGCAGCUGCAGCUGGCGCGAACGCGUAGGAUUCGCUAGUACAUAAAGCGUGACAACGUCCGCUUCCUCGGUGCUAGACCCACGCUGUUCCUUCCCCUUGGCUCGCGUCCUGGCCAGCAACCGCGCGUAACGCGAGAUUUCUUCGCGAAAACCAGCUCGCUUAUACGUGUAACGCGCUUGUCCCUAUCAACGAGUAAGUAAUUACUCACGAUGAACCGCGACCAACCAUCUCUCUCUAUUAAAAGGUAAGAUAGACAGAGGCGCAGGAAAGACAUAGAAGCGCGCAAGUUGAUCCGAUCACGCGAAAUUACCAGAUAAAUUGGCUCGGAUGUAAUCGGAAACUUAAUGGCCGCGAUUAACCCCUCGACAAGGAAAUUGCGGCUUAGGCCGGUGACGAGCUGCUCGCUUUUGCUUAGAAAUUGUGCUGGCAUGCUUGGCUCUUUCUUUUUCUCCUCGCUCUUCAUUUCUUUCUUUCUUUUUCAAAGAUUCCUACAGUUCCUUUUUAAUGGACGCGCGAAUAUCGACUAUUGUAAUUGCAAGAGAACGAUUUUUCGGUUCGCAGAUAAAAGAAAAGGUUUAACUUUGAUUGGCCCGAUGUUUGAUAUUAAUUGCGUGACUUGAACGUGCGAUGAGAAGGUUUUUACGGACGAGUCGAUGGUUCCGUUCGAAUCGCAUUUUUAUUUUCACCUUUAUCGUGAUUGAAACGGUGUACCAAUAAGAUGCACACUUUUUCAGUUUCGAUUAAUCGAGCAUGUGAUUGCAGGGAUCUGUAUUAUCGGUUAGCUAGGUAUUUUAUCAGAGAAUGAAAUGUAAUGUAAAUAAACAGAGAUUGCUCUUCUUUCUUAAAAAGUAGCUUCACUAAAGGCGAGGAUUUUUCCCUUCUCUUAGUUAGAAAGAACCCAUUGAUAUCAUUCAACGAAAGGAUAAAGAAAAGUUAAUCUGUAUCUAAAAACUCAGGGUUUCUUACUUUUGUGUAAAACAUGGAACUUGGCGUUUUAUCAAAACGUUAUAUAAGUUCUCUCGUUUUCGUCCAAUUCACGCAGUAUCAGUCGAUUCUUCAGAUGACCCUGAUGGCGCCAUCUACCAGGAAACCCAAAGACUGCGCGAAAAUUCACCCUCGAAGAAUCUUUCCUAUCUGUCCAGUACCGAUUAAGUAUUCAAAUGUAUUCCCAUCGAUCUAUCAAUUUUCUCUUCCUAUGAGAUUUAUUGCUGAUAUUCAAAUCUGACGACGCUGAAGUUGGUAAUUAAUUCAAACUCAAUGAAAGAAGUCAUCGUGGAUUCUAUCGUGGAUCGCAGACAAGAAGGGAUUAACGCAUCUAUUUACUUUUACAGUCGCGACGGUCCCUCAGGUGAAACGCAUUACGAGGGAAGUCCAACAGCGAAACGACCGAGAAGAAAGGCGACCCGGGAUCCGCGUGGACAUUUUUUCGCGAAAACACGCGUUUCUGGAUAAUCGAAGGCAGAAGAAGAACUCCGACAAUGGCAUCGUCCCGAAGAGGAUCGAUAAACGAGCAAGACAUUCAACGACCCUCUUCCCUAAAUGGCCACGAUGAGACUGAUACCAUUAAGGGCAUGGCGCGAGUUACGCUUCCAUUCGCACAAACUCGUUGGAAUCACAAUCGAAUCCCCGUAAUGAUCGAUCUCUGUAGAACGAAAGAAACACAUCUAAAGAGAUUCUCAUUUUUCUUUGGAAUAUCAACACUAGGAGGAACCAAGCUUUAUCAUUUUUGCAAAGUAACCUUGAUAUAUUUUAAUCUCUGCAAUCGUGCAAAUAUUUUCGACUAAAUUAAUUUUGUCUUUUGUUGGAAAUGGAAACAUCAUCAAGUCGUAUUGAUUUGAUCAUAAUCAUUUAUGUGUGGUACAUCUAGAUAUACCGUUAUUUAGGAGUCGUAGGAUAGUUGUUAUAUCGGUUUUUAAAUUGGAAAAGAUCAAGUAUUCAAUAGGGAAAUCCGGAUAUAUAUGAUAAGGUAUAAGUUGAUCCAAAUUAGAUAAUGUAUUUAUGUAUUAUAACGUAGUAUAGUUAGUUUAAAUGAACAGAUCAAUAGUAAUAAAGAUAACAGAAUAAACGUUAAUAGCUUUAUUGAAACUCGCGUGCAAUUGAAAAUUCAUAAUUUACUUCCGAUAUCGAAAUUUUACUAAAAAUAAAAAGAUGCGCUAAGAUUCAGAAAUAGUACAUAUUGAAAGCUGGUAAUUCUAGCGUUGAUAUUAGAAAUACAAGAUUUUGGAAGGGGAAGGGAGAGACAAAAUAUGAUACUUACCUGAUUGUCCUUUCUUU